rnacentral:rRNA from 1 species
AAUGAACGCUGGCGGCAUGCCUAACACAUGCAAGUCGAACGAAGGCUUCGGCCUUAGUGGCGCACGGGUGUGUAACGCGUGGGAAUCUGCCCUCAGGUUCGGAAUAACAGCGAGAAAUUGCUGCUAAUACCGGAUGAUAUCGCGAGAACAAAGAUUUAUCGCCUGAGAAUGAGCCCGCGUAGGAUUAGCUAGUUGGUGUGGUAAAGGCGCACAAAGGCGACGAUCCUUAGCUGGUCUGAGAGGAUGAUCAGCCACACUGGGACUGAGACACGGCCCAGACUCCUACGGGAGGCAGCAGUGGGGAAUAUUGGACAAUGGGCGAAAGCCUGAUCCAGCAAUGCCGCGUGAGUGAUGAAGGCCUUAGGGUUGUAAAGCUCUUUUACCCGGGAUGAUAAUGACAGUACCGGGAGAAUAAGCUCCGGCUAACUCCGUGCCAGCAGCCGCCGUAA